AACGGAUAAAAGAAAUUUGUAAUGAAUUAUGCCAAAAUGUUUGUUCAUGUUCUAUAAUGUACCAAGUGCAUCUAAGAAAAGGGGAUGGGGACACCUACAGGCGAGUACCUAUUAGUGCUAUCCGCCAUUUUCUCUUCAGUUUAUGCGAGCUGUUGAGGAGAAUGUUAUGUGACCGGAUGAGCUGUAUUUCAAGUCUGUAUGGUGUUAUUUCACAUAUCUCCAGGUAUGAUGUACUGUUUUCUUUGUUUAGAGAAAAGAAAGAAAAGAAACUGAGCUUUUAAUUGCGAUAAAAACGUGAUUUAUUGUUUGUUGAAUUAAUGAAAGAGUUUAUGCGAGCUGUUGAGGAGAAUGUUAUGUGACCGGAUGAGCUGUAUUUCAAGUCUGUAUGGUGUUAUUUCACAUAUCUCCAGUAAACACUUGAUGGAUGUUGAAUCGUCUCGACUCUGUCUCCGUGUGGUCCUUUCCGGGAGGGUCGAAAGAAUGAACCAGAAAAGGGGGUUACAAUGGUGCCGUGAUUCCCGUUUGUGAUCCACGCAAAGCAGCCGAUCUCCGGAAGGACGACAACAAGGCCUACCGCGGAGUGCAGCGAGGACGUCGCGCGCGCGCGCAAUCUGAUCAGGUGGACUGUGGUUGCCAGAUUCUCCGGUUAAAGACUUUUUUUUUUCUCUCUCUUCUUCUCUUCGAGGGACUUUCGAACAGAAAGAUAAAUGACAUUGGACUGCAGAUAAGUGAAGUGUUUAAAAAAAAAA